CAAUAGCGUAUAUUAAAGUUGUUGCGGUUAAAAAGCUCGUAGUUGGAUUUCUGCCGAGGACGACCGGUCCGCCCUCUGGGUGAGUAUCUGGUUCGGCCUGGGCAUCUUCUUGGAGAACGUAUCUGCACUUGACUGUGUGGUGCGGUAUCCAGGACUUUUACUUUGAGGAAAUUAGAGUGUUUCAAGCAGGCACACGCCUUGAAUACAUUAGCAUGGAAUAACAGAAUAGGACUUUGGUUCUAUUUUGUUGGUUUCUAGGACCGAAGUAAUGAUUAAUAGGGAUAGUUGGGGGCAUUAAUAUUUAAUUGUCAGAGGUGAAAUUCUUUGAUUUAUGAAAGAUUAACUUCUGCGAAAGCAUUUGCCAAGGAUGUUUUCAUUAAUCAAGAACGAAAGUUAGGGGAUCGAAGAUGAUUAGAUACCAU
rnacentral:rRNA from 1 species